GCAGCCAUCUGGAUGGGCUUCAGCUUCUGAGCGGCAUCCAGGGCUUGGGCUGCCUGGCGGUUCCAGAAGGCUGGGUCCUCCUCCUCAACUGGCCAAGGGGAGAGUGGAAGCCAGGCAGAGAGGACCCAGGGGUGAGCUUCUUCUCUCCAUGGGCCACGAAUACCCACAGGUAUGGCUUCUGAUAAGGAACAAAGAGGUUUCUGUGACCAGACCGGUUCAAAAGCAUUCCUCCAAUCCAGCGACCGCACGUCUGGGUGUAUAGCCAAAAGAUUUGAAAGCAAGGUCUGGGAGGGAGAUUUGCAGCCCCAUGUUCAUAGCUGCCUUGUUCACAGGAGCGAAAAGGUGGAAGCAAUUCAAGUGUCUAUCAUGAGAUGAACGUAUAAACAAGACGUGGUCCGUCCACGUAAGGGGAUAUUAUUCAGCCUUAAAAAGGAAGGGAAUCCUGUCACACGCUGCCACAUGGAUGAGCCCUCAGGGUGUGAUGCUAAGUGAAAUAGGCCAGUCACUGAAGGGCAAACCUGUGUGAUUCUACUUAGACGAGGCAUCUCACGUCGUCAAAUGCAUAGAACUGGUUGCCAGGGCCCCGGAGGAGGAGGCCGGGGGAGGAGGUGUUUAGUGGGAACAGAGUUUCAGUUUUGAAGAUGAAAACCUCCCGGAGAGCUGCUGUCCGACAGCCACAGCGCGCAUUCACUCUACUGAGCCAGGCACUUACAAGUGGUUAUGAUGGUAAAUUUUGUGUUGUGCUUUUCCCCACCAUUAGAAAAAAAUUGGGGGGCACCUGGGUGGCUCAGUCAGUUGAGCAGGACAGACUUCGGCUCAGGGCACGAUGGUUGAGUUUGAGCCCCGCAUCUGGCUCGACACUGUCCGCUCAGAGCCCGCUUUGGAUCCUCUGUCCCCCUUUCUCUCUGCCCCUCCCUCGCUUGUGUGAGCUCUCUCUCUCUCUCUCAAAAAUAAAUAAACCUUAAACAUUUUUUUUUUUUUUUCAAAGAAGAAAAACCUUCCUCCCAACUCCGCCCACCCCAGUGGACCACGGUAGCUCCGUUUUGCGCUCUGGCCUCCUCACCACCUGAGCCACGUGCUUGGUCCCCAAAACCAGGGAGAGUGCCCUGGCCGCCAGCAUCUCCCUGCCCAGCCCCCACCUCUCAAGCAGAGCUUUCCUGGGGCCGCCUCCACACUGACCUGGCUGUCCUCUCCAUCUGAGGAGAGCUAGCGCCUUGGGAGGCAUCCUUCCUGGCCUCUGAAGUGUCCCCGUAGCUCCUCUGUCCCCUGCAUCAUCUUGCUGUGCUAGGGAAAUUCUUGGCUAAAGGUCAGGGGAGACUAACCCCUGGGCGGGUCCUUAAUUAAUUAACUGGUUCUUUUUACCAGGCUGUAGGUGAAAGGUUUAUUAUUCCGAGAUUAGUCUUCCGGUGAAUUCCCCAUCCCCGUUAUCAAUUGGAAUUUUUGACAUAACUGUAGAUUCGCAUGCAGUUGUAAGAAAUAAUACAGAGAAUCCUUGGAUGCCGCCCAAUUUCCCCCAGUGGCACAAAGUCACAGAUUCUCAGAUUUCUAUUCGGAGUUCCCCUGUUUUACAUGAACUCCUUCGUGUGGGCAUGUAGGUUCCAUAUCAUCUUGUCCCAUGCGUGGGUUCAUGUAAACACCACUACAGUUAAGAUACCGAACAGCUCCAACCCCGGAGAUUGGAACAGAUCCCUUUAUAACCACCCUACCUCCCUCCCACACCCCUGCUCAGUCCCUAACCCCUCUCCUGCAUUUCUAAAAUUUUGUCAUCUCAAAUUGGUAGGGAAGAAUCUGUUAUAAGACGGCCGACAGGACUGACAGGGGAAUUUCUGUCCCUGCCCGAAGACUUCCCUUCCUGGUUCUUCUUCCUGCCAAAUUACUACUAAUGCUGAAUGCAGAAAUAACAGACUAUAAACUGUCCCCCAUGCUUACGCUCAGGACCCAGACCUCUGGAGAGUGAUCUCCUCUGAGCCCGCUGGUGUGAAAUAAACCUCCUGCCUUCCGAGA